rnacentral:rRNA from 1 species
AGAACGAACGCUGGCGGCAUGCCUAACACAUGCAAGUCGAACGCUUUUGGGGCUUCGGUCCCAAAGGAGUGGCGCACGGGUGAGUAGCGCGUGGGAACCUGCCCUGUUGUGGGGGAUAACCGAGGGAAACUUCGGCUAAUACCGCAUACGCCCGGGGGAAACUCCGGGGAAAGAUUCAUCGCAGCAGGAGGGGCCCGCGUCGGAUUAGGUAGUUGGUGGGGUAACGGCCCACCAAGCCUGUGAUCCGUAGCUGGUCUGAGAGGAUGAUCAGCCACACUGGGACUGAGACACGGCCCAGACUCCUACGGGAGGCAGCAGUGGGGAAUAUUGGACAAUGGGCGCAAGCCUGAUCCAGCAAUGCCGCGUGAGUGAUGAAGGCCUUCGGGUUGUAAAGCUCUUUCGCACGCGACGAUGAUGACGGUACGGUGGAAGAAGCCCGGCUAACGUUCGUGCCAGCAGCCGC